GGUUUCCCGUGCCAAAGGGAGCGAGGCGCCGGGCGGAGCAGCACGGCAGGUUGUGGGGUCGCCCCUGUGGGACUGAAAUCGGUCGGGGGCCGGUCUCACCGGAGCAGAACCCGGGCGGGGCUGGACUGGCACUGGGAGCCUCCAAUAGGGGCGAGGGGGGCCGCUCCGCGGGGCGCCGCCAUCGCCACUCGGCGCUCCGGUGCGGCGGCCCGGCGGACGGCCCGGCGGGGCCGCGGCAGCAGCGCUGCGGCAGCCCGAGGACAGAGCGGAGAGGACAGGAGGGCAGCGAGUGUGCUGGAGUUUUGGCUAGAAUAAAAUACGGAUUUCUCCACAGAGGAAGCUCUCUGGUCUGCGACUCAUGUUAUUGGAAUCCUUUUAUGACCUUUGACGCGUUUAAAUAACACGGUAAAACUGUGCACACACCUCGGAUUGAACUUUAAUCAUCCCAAGUCAAGGACAUCCAGGUGGUAAAUUACUUUAUUUUGACAUUUCUGCUUUAGAACAGUAUGUUCUGUGAUCCCAGUCGUAGGUCACAGAGACGUUUCUAGUUUUCUCAUCCUUAAAAGAGCAAAUAUACUUUAUCUACAGAUAUAAGAAAUUAGUCUCUCCUGUUACCUUAUUAAAAAAAAAAAAAAAAAAGAAAACCAGACACCAAAAUCAAGUCUCCUGGGAUUCUAGUUCUAUCGGGCACCUCCAGACUUCGCAUAGGACUGAAAAAAUGUUCCUUGCUGUUAAGCACCACUUCACCUCUCCUGGAAUAUGUGUGUGCAUAAUGUGCUAUACAGAAACUUAGACAAGUUUUAUAUAUACAUAUGUUUGUAUGUAUGUUCCCUUUCUGCAAAGAGUGAUGUUGUAAUAGAUUGCUUUAAAAAAUUAAAUUAAUCUGCAGAUUUUUUCUUUGGUCUUGGUGGAGUGUGAAAACCCAAAUUGAGUUUGGUUCAUUAUGAACAAAAUAGUCUAACAAAUUAUGUAUCUUCAAGACAAAUCUGGAAUGCUUAUUUUGUUUGCUACUAGCGCCUCAUUUUAAAUCAGAUAAAUUUGAGUGAAUGUGUACAAAAGAGACAAAUUUGUGGGCCUUUUAAUUAUUAAUAAAAAUUAGUGACA
rnacentral:lncRNA from 1 species